rnacentral:rRNA from 1 species
UACAGAGGUCUCAACCGUUGUUCGGAUUCAUUGGGCGUAAAGGGUGCGUAGGCGGUCGUGCAAGUCGGAUGUGAAAUCUCCGGGCUUAACUCGGAAAGGUCAACUGAUACUGUGCGACUAGAGUGCGGAAGGGGCAACUGGAAUUCUCGGUGUAGCGGUGAAAUGCGUAGAUAUCGAGAGGAACACCUGCGGCGAAGGCGGGUUGCUGGGCCGACACUGACGCUGAUGCGCGAAAGCCAGGGGAGCGAACGGG